rnacentral:rRNA from 1 species
CACCGCGGUUAUACGAGAGACCCUAGUUGAUAAACACGGCGUAAAGAGUGGUUAAGGAUAAAAACAAAUAAAGUCAAACAAUCUCUUAGCUGUUAUACGCAUUAUGAGAACAUGAAGCCCCCCUACGAAAGUAACUUUACUAUUACCUGACCCCACGAAAGCUAAGAAA